AGCAAAGUGACUUUUCCUCCUCGUUCCUCCAAGGCUUUCCUCACUAUUCAGGGUUCCUCAGCAAACAUGGAGCAUGGAGCACCUAGACCGCCAAAUCCAGAGAGGAGACCCGUGCUGUCAGGCUGAAGGGGAUACAGGUCACUGAAUCCAAGGCCACCUGUGGAGGGAAGAGUUGAGAUGUCAGUGAGAACCUCCAGAACCUCCAGAAGGAAGUGGCCCUGCUGACUGACACCUUGACUUUGGCCCCAGUGAAGCUGAUCUGGCACUUCUGGCCUUCGGAAGUGUAACAGACUAGACCGGCAUCAUUUGAAGUCCCCGAGUUUGUGAUGCUAAUCUCAGUUUUAUGAGUAACAAGUUGGACAAAUCACAGACACCUGGGUACUUCACCUUCUAAGAUUAGUGACCGCUCAGGCCCCAUCAG